rnacentral:lncRNA from 1 species
GAGAACAGCUCCUAAGAUCCAGGCCGGAAUGACAGGGACUUCCACCAAUCAACUUUCUACCUUUCGGUUUCUGCGUCCUAGCUGUUUCUGGACCCGGAAAAGUCUCCUCAGAAGCAUUUCCGUGGCAGAGGGCCUGGGAGAGGCGGCAGUCGGCAGCGCAACUGUCGGCACAGCAGCCCGGCGGCCCCGAAAGGUCCCAGGUAUCACACUCAUCAGGUAGUUCAGCUCACCUGUGAAACUGAGAACCCUGGAUGGUGAAGAGAGGAAACUAGCAAAGGAUCCAGGUCUCUAACUGCUCAGUCAGAUCUGCUCACCUGUUAAUCAGAACUAAGAGCCCUGGAUGGUGAACACAGAGGAAACUAUAGCCAAGGAACCAGUGUCUUUGACCCAGACUGGAAGCAGCACCAGGCUAUGGUGGUGAACUGAAACAUUUGAACAUGUUCCAAAGGUAAGAGUAACUAGAAGAAUGAACGCCUCUCUCCUAAAUGCUCCUC